rnacentral:rRNA from 1 species
UACGUAGGGGGCAAGCGUUGUCCGGAAUCAUUGGGCGUAAAGAGCGUGUCGGCGGCUCGAUAAGUCCGCUGUGAAAGUCCAGGGCUCAACCCUGGAAGGCCGGUGGAAACUGUCGGGCUAGAGUCCGGAAGAGGCGAGUGGAAUUCCCGGUGUAGCGGUGAAAUGCGCAGAUAUCGGGAGGAACACCAAUGGCGAAGGCAGCUCGCUGGGACGGUACUGACGCUGAGACGCGAAAGCGUGGGGAGCAAACAGG